GGUUAAGUUAGAAAGGGCGCACGGUGAAUGCCUUGGCACUAGGAGCCGAUGAAGGACGGGACUAACACCGAUAUGCUUCGGGGAGCUGUAAGUGAGCUUUGAUCCGGAGAUUUCCGAAUGGGGAAACCCACUGUUCGUAAUGGAACAGUAUCUUUAUCUGAAUACAUAGGAUAUUGAAGGCAGACCCGGGGAACUGAAACAUCUAAGUACCCGGAGGAAGAGAAAGCAAAUGCGAUUUCCUGAGUAGCGGCGAGCGAAACGGAAUUAGCCCAAACCAAGAGGCUUGCCUCUUGGGGUUGUAGGACACUCUAUACGGAGUUACAAAGGAACGAAGUAAAUGAAGCGACCUGGAAAGGUCCGUCGAAGAAGGUAACAACCCUGUAGUUGAAACUUCGUUCCCUCUUGAGUGGAUCCUGAGUACGGCGGAACACGUGAAAUUCCGUCGGAAGCUGGGAGGACCAUCUCCCAAGGCUAAAUACUACCUAGUGACCGAUAGUGAACCAGUACCGUGAGGGAAAGGUGAAAAGCACCCCGGAAGGGGAGUGAAAGAGAUCCUGAAACCGUGUGCCUACAAGUAGUCAGAGCCCGUUAACGGGUGAUGGCGUGCCUUUUGUAGAAUGAACCGGCGAGUUACGAUCCCAUGCAAGGUUAAGCUGAUAAGGCGGAGCCGUAGCGAAAGCGAGUCUGAAUAGGGCGUUUAGUAUGUGGUUGUAGACCCGAAACCAGGUGAUCUACCCAUGUCCAGGGUGAAGUUCAGGUAACACUGAAUGGAGGCCCGAACCCACGCACGUUGAAAAGUGCGGGGAUGAGGUGUGGGUAGCGGAGAAAUUCCAAUCGAACCUGGAGAUAGCUGGUUCUCUCCGAAAUAGCUUUAGGGCUAGCCUCAUGUUGUGAGAGUCUUGGAGGUAGAGCACUGAUUGGACUAGGGGCCCCCAACGGGUUACCGAAUUCAGUCAAACUCCGAAUGCCAAAGACUUAUCCAUGGGAGUCAGACUGCGAGUGAUAAGAUCCGUAGUCAAAAGGGAAACAGCCCAGACCACCAGCUAAGGUCCCCAAGUAUACGUUAAGUGGAAAAGGAUGUGGAGUUGCUUAGACAACCAGGAUGUUGGCUUAGAAGCAGCCACCAUUUAAAGAGUGCGUAAUAGCUCACUGGUCGAGUGACUCUGCGCCGAAAAUGUACCGGGGCUAAACGUAUCACCGAAGCUGUGGAUUGACAUCUUAGAUGUCAGUGGUAGGAGAGCGUUCUAAGUGCUGUGAAGUCAGACCGUAAGGACUGGUGGAGCGCUUAGAAGUGAGAAUGCCGGUAUGAGUAGCGAAAGACAAGUGAGAAUCUUGUCCACCGAAUGCCUAAGGUUUCCUGAGGAAGGCUCGUCCGCUCAGGGUUAGUCGGGACCUAAGCCGAGGCUGAAAAGCGUAGGCGAUGGCCAACAGGUUGAUAUUCCUGUACCACCUCCCCGCCGUUUGAGUAAUGGGGGGACGCAGUAGGAUAGGGUAAGCGCGCUGCUGGAUAUGCGCGUUCAAGCAGUUAGGCUGAUGAGUAGGCAAAUCCGCUCAUCAUAAAGGCUGAGCUGUGAUGACGAGGGAAUUAUAGUACCGAAGUUCCUGAUUCCACACUGCCAAGAAAAGCCUCUAGCGAGGCGGGAGGUGCCCGUACCGCAAACCGACACAGGUAGGCGAGGAGAGAAUCCUAAGGUGAUCGAGAGAACUCUCGUUAAGGAACUCGGCAAAAUGACCCCGUAACUUCGGGAGAAGGGGUGCUCUGGUAGGGUGUAUAGCCCGAGAGAGCCGCAGUGAAUAGGCCCAGGCGACUGUUUAGCAAAAACACAGGUCUCUGCGAAGCCGCAAGGCGAAGUAUAGGGGCUGACGCCUGCCCGGUGCUGGAAGGUUAAGAGGAGGGGUUAUCCUUUGGGAGAAGCUCUGAAUCGAAGCCCCAGUAAACGGCGGCCGUAACUAUAACGGUCCUAAGGUAGCGAAAUUCCUUGUCGGGUAAGUUCCGACCCGCACGAAAGGCGUAACGAUCUGGGCACUGUCUCAACGAGAGACUCGGUGAAAUUAUAGUACCUGUGAAGAUGCAGGUUACCCGCGACAGGACGGAAAGACCCCGUGGAGCUUUACUGUAGCCUGAUAUUGAAUUUUGGUACAGCUUGUACAGGAUAGGUAGGAGCCUGAGAAGCCGGAGCGCUAGCUUCGGUGGAGGCGUCGGUGGGAUACUACCCUGGCUGUAUUGAAAUUCUAACCCGCGGCCCUGAUCGGGCCGGGAGACAGUGUCAGGUGGGCAGUUUGACUGGGGCGGUCGCCUCCUAAAAUGUAACGGAGGCGCCCAAAGGUUCCCUCAGAAUGGUUGGAAAUCAUUCGUAGAGUGUAAAGGCACAAGGGAGCUUGACUGCGAGACCUACAAGUCGAGCAGGGACGAAAGUCGGGCUUAGUGAUCCGGUGGUUCCGCAUGGAAGGGCCAUCGCUCAACGGAUAAAAGCUACCCCGGGGAUAACAGGCUUAUCUCCCCCAAGAGUCCACAUCGACGGGGAGGUUUGGCACCUCGAUGUCGGCUCAUCGCAUCCUGGGGCUGUAGUCGGUCCCAAGGGUUGGGCUGUUCGCCCAUUAAAGCGGUACGCGAGCUGGGUUCAGAACGUCGUGAGACAGUUCGGUCCCUAUCCGUCGUGGGCGUAGGAAAUUUGAGAGGAGCUGUCCUUAGUACGAGAGGACCGGGAUGGACACACCGCUGGUGUACCAGUUGUCUUGCCAAAGGCAUCGCUGGGUAGCUAUGUGUGGACGGGAUAAGUGCUGAAAGCAUCUAAGCAUGAAGCCCCCCUCAAGAUGAGAUUUCCCAUAGCGCAAGCUAGUAAGAUCCCUGAAAGAUGAUCAGGUUGAUAGGUCAGAGGUGGAAGCGUGGCGACAUGUGUAGCUGACUGAUACUAAUCGAUCGAGGACUUAACCAA
rfam:Bacillus megaterium QM B1551, complete genome.